UUAUUUUCGUGUAAUAUACUUAGCUGUGCGUAAUUUAGUGUAAAAAUCAUGCAAAAUGUGUAUUAACAAUGCAUAUGUUGCACUACUUAUACAGAUAUUGCACUAUUUUGAAGAGAUUGUUGCACUAUUUGAGAGGAUAUUGCACUCUUUCAUCUUAUUAAUUAAUCUUUAUUUUUUUUAUUUUCUCUUGAAUGAGGUUUCUUGUUUUACAAGAAAGGUAUAUGCAUAUAAUUAUGGUUUAGCAGUUGUCAUUUCCAAGAAGUUUUAUACAUAAUGGCUUAGCAGUUGUAUUUUUCUAGACAUUUAAAGUAUAUAUUUUUUAUGAAUUUUGAAAGAGGGGUAGUUUGGUCAUCCUUCUGAAAAUUCGGCCCGAAUCUGCAAAAACUAAAAAGGUGGCCCACUUUUGCAAAAGCGCAAAAUUAGUGGAUUUUUUAUGCAAAUUGGCCUUAUUUUUAUAGUAAUUUAUAAUAUAAUGUUUUAUGUAACAAUUUAAUUUAAAAUGGUAUAUUUAUUUUAUUAUAUAUAAUAGUUUAUUUUUUGUAAUAAUUUAUUUUAUAUAAUUUAUUCAUAAUAUAUGCAAUGAAUAAAGUGUAAUACUAACAAUAUCCUUAUAAUUUUAAUUAAUAAUAAUAUAAAUUUUAAUACAAAUUAAAAAUAUAUAUAAUACAUGAAAAAAUAAUUUUUGAUAUAUAAUACUUAAUAUAAAAUAAAAUAAUUAAAUAUUAAAAUAUAAUGAUAAAACUUAAUAAAAUAAAUAAUAUAUUAAAUUUAAUUAAUUUAUAUUAUAUAAUAAAAUUUAAGUUUAAAUAUAUUAUCAUAAAAAUAAUAUUUAUAUUAAUAUAUUUAUUUAUAUAUCUAUUUAUCUAAUAAAAUAAAGAGAAGAACAAAAUUAUUCUCGGUUUUCCUAAAAAUAAUUUUUAACGGGUUGUUUCAGAACAAUUCAGAAUAAUUCGUUUUAAUCAGAACAAUUCGUUCUUCGCAGUUCUCCUACCGUUUGGUUACAAAUUGAGGGAUAUCUCGUUCUUCUGCUACCGAACGCAGCCUAAAAGAGAACCCAUUCAAAGUCUGGUUUGCUUCC
rnacentral:lncRNA from 1 species